rnacentral:rRNA from 1 species
UCGAGAAUCAUUCGCAAUGGGCGAAAGCCUGACGAUGCGACGCCGUGUGAACGAUGAAGGCCUUCGGGUUGUAAAGUUCUUUCGCCUGGGAACAAGAGAGACUGACGAAUAAUCAGUUGAUUUGAGGGUACUAGGUAAAGAAGCACCGGCUAACUCCGUGCCAGCAGCUGCGGUAAUACGGAGGGUGCAAGCAUUAAUCGGAUUUAUUGGGCGUAAAGGGCGCGUAGGCGGGGAAGUAAGUCAGAUGUGAAAGCCCAGGGCUCAACCCUGGAACAGCAUUUGAAACUGCUUCUCUAGAGGGUAGACGGAGAAAACAGAAUUCCACGUGUAGCGGUGAAAUGCGUAGAUAUGUGGAGGAAUACCGGUGGCGAAGGCGGUUUUCUAGUUUAUUCCUGACGCUAAUGCGCGAAAGCAAGGGGAGCAAACAGGAUUAGAUACCCAAGUAGUCCCUGAGCGGGCUGGCAAGGCGCAU